rnacentral:tRNA from 1 species
GCGAGUAUGGCGAAAUCGGCAGACGCAAGAGACUUAAAAUCUCUCGGGAGCGAUCCCGUAUCGGUUCAAAUCCGAUUACUCGCACCA